rnacentral:rRNA from 1 species
UGAAUACGAGACGCUAAGGCGUCGAAGUAGUGUAUGUCAUACUUCCAAGAAAAGCUUGCACUGUCAUAGAUAAAAAACGCCUGUACCAUAACCGACACAGGUGGGUAGGUAGAGUAUACUAAGGGGCGCGAGAUAACUCUCUCUAAGGAACUCGGCAAAAUAACUCCGUAACUUCGGGAGAAGGAGUGCCUUAUUCGUAAGGUUGCAAUAACAAGAUCCAAGCAACUGUUUAUCAAAAACACAGGUCUCCGCUAAGUCGUAAGACGAUGUAUGGGGGCUGACGCCUGCCCAGCGCCAGAAGGUUAAAGAAGUUGGUUAGCAAUUGCGAAGCUGAUAACUGAAGCCCUGGUGAACGGCGGCCGUAACUAUAACGGUCCUAAGGUAGCGAAAUUCCUUGUCGGGUAAGUUCCGACCCGCACGAAAGGCGUAAUGAUUUGGAUACUGUCUCGGAGAGGGGCUCGGUGAAAUAGACUUGUCUGUGAAGAUGCGGACUACCUGCACCAGGACAGAAAGACCCUAUGAAGCUUUACUGUAACUUGAAAUUGAAAUCGGACUUUAUUCGCGCAGUAUAGGUGGGAGGCGUUGAUUAUAAUCUUGUGGGAUUAUUGGAGCCAUCAGUGAGAUACCACUCUUGUAAUGUUAGAUUUCUAACUUUGAAUCAUUAUCUGGUCAAAGAACAGUUUCAGGCGGGCAGUUUGACUGGGGCGGUCGCCUCCUAAACGGUAACGGAGGCGUACAAAGGUUUCCUCUGAACGGUUAGAAAUCGUAUCUAGAGUGUAAAGGCAUAAGGAAGCUUGACUGUGAGACCUACAAGUCGAGCAGGGACGAAAGUCGGUCUUAGUGAUCUGACGGUACUGAGUGGAAAGGCCGUCACUCAACGGAUAAAAGUUACUCUAGGAUAACAGGCUGAUCUCCCCCAAGAGUUCACAUCGACGGGGAGGUUUGGCACCUGAUGUCGGCUCAUCGCAUCCUGGGGCGGUAGUACGUCCCAAGGGUUGGGCUGUUCGCCCAUGAAAGCGGUACGCGAGCUGGGUUCAGAACGUCGUGAGACAGUUCGGUCCAUAUCCGGUGUAGGCGUUAGAAUAUUGAGAGGAGCCUUCUUUAGUACGAGAGGACCGAGAAGGACAUACCUCUGGUGUACCAGUUAUCGUGCCAACGGUAAACGCUGGGUAGCUAUGUAUGGAGUGGAUAACCGCUGAAAGCAUCUAAGUGGGAAGCCCACCUCAAGAUAAGUAUUCUCAUC